GCUCGCUGGGCUCAUAACCCAGAGGUCGCAGGUUCAAAUCCUGUCCCCGCUA
rnacentral:tRNA from 1 species